rnacentral:rRNA from 1 species
GGCCUGACCGGGCGGACCGCCAUUUGGUGGAUUCUGCUCAGUUGGGCCUUUCCUUCUGGGGAACCAGUGUGCUCUUAAUUGGGUGCGCUGGGGAUCCAGAACUGUUACCUUGAAAAAAUUAGAGUGUUUAAAGCAGGCAUAUGCUUGAAUACAUUAGCAUGGAAUAAUAGAAUAGGACUU